rnacentral:tRNA from 1 species
CAGGGUGUGGGAAAGCUUGGUUUAAUCCGCAUACUUCGGGAGUAUGAGACCGCUGGUUCGAAUCCAGCUACCCUGA